rnacentral:snRNA from 1 species
GUGCUAGCUUCGGCAGCACAAAUACUAAAA